rnacentral:rRNA from 1 species
GUGGGGAAUUUUGGACAAUGGGCGCAAGCCUGAUCCAGCAAUGCCGCGUGCAGGAAGAAGGCCUUCGGGUUGUAAACUGCUUUUGUACGGAACGAAACGGUCCGGGUUAAUACCCUGGGCUAAUGACGGUACCGUAAGAAUAAGCACCGGCUAACUACGUGCCAGCAGCCGCGGUAAUACGUAGGGUGCAAGCGUUAAUCGGAAUUACUGGGCGUAAAGCGUGCGCAGGCGGUUUUGUAAGACAGGCGUGAAAUCCCCGGGCUCACCCUGGGAAUUGCGCUUGUGACUGCAAGGCUGGAGUGCGGCAGAGGGGGAUGGAAUUCCGCGUGUAGCAGUGAAAUGCGUAGAUAUGCGGAGGAACACCGAUGGCGAAGGCAAUCCCCUGGGCCUGCACUGACGCUCAUGCACGAAAGCGUGGGGAGCAAACAGGAUUAGAAACCCUAGUAGUCC